AAUAGCGUUAUGUCAAAAUACUAAUUUAUUUGUUUUUAAAUUAAAUAAAAUUGUAAUCUUGAUAGUAUUCCCACUUUUUACAAAAUGUAAAAGUAAUCUGAAUACUUAGUUUUUUUGAUGUAACUGUAACGGAUUACAGUUACUAGAUUGUUGUAUCCUGAUUGCAUAACGCUAUUAGCCUACAUGUAUUCCGUUACUCCCCAACCCUGCAUAAUGCUAUGAAAGUGGUUACUUUUUACCUUACCUCCCUUAUAAAACUGCUCUUAUGAGACAUAAUCCUCCAAACCCCUUAAGCUGAAGUAUAUAUGACAACUAGCCUGAUGUUUUCCUCAAAGUAUUAAUUUUGAGUGUCAUUUCACUGUAGUUUUUUCUCUGACUCAGCCUCAAACAAGGCACUUCAUUUGUCAAUCAAACCAUCUAUAAAUAAUCUGUUUUGGACCGUCCCUAUGACUUUGAUGGCUCUUGAAUACCUCCCUGUCCAGUCCUCCACAGAGCACUAAUUUAAGUGUACUUAAUAAACAAAGGGUCAGAAUUAACAAAGCGGUCACUACGUCAGUGUGUUUCUGCAAUGACACAAUUAAACAACUGAGGCUAUGCAGCGUUCCCAUCCUAACUUCUGUAGCCGCAGCUGUUUUAGUACAUCAGCUCAUGAGAUUGCGUAGUGUCUGCCAUUUUGUUUUCCUCACGCUGAGGUGUGAGAGUACCAAGAGACUGAAUCACGGACGCAGACCCUGCAGGCCACUGAAUCACCCUCUGUUUAACACAUAGACGCGUUUCAGCAUCCAAGCUGUCUUCUGGACGCUUAAGUUUGUCUUCAGCUAUGGCAAACAAAUGUCAAGAGCAGCCAUGAGCAACACACACCCCCCUCGGGAGCAGCACUGUUGAUGUUUAAGAGUGGAAAGUACCCAUUUGAAACCACUGUCCAUUAAGUGUGUUGGGAACAGGUCCUCCUUUCUGUGUGGGUGGUCUGCAAAGCUUCACUGGAAAAAUUGCAGCAAAAGCAGCAUGUUGUAUCGGCCCGCGGCCAGAAGCCCAGAUGUGACAUUAAUUGUUAUUAAUCUGCUCAGUGAGCCAGUAGUCCGUUUUCACACUUAGUAAAUAUAGGGUACACUUUUAAGUUAAACAAUAAAACUUCAUAUUUAAGUUCAAUAUAGAGGAACAGGAAAUGUGAUGUUUUUGUAGUAAUUCCACCAGACAGUUACAUGACCUCUACUGGUUUCAUGAAAAGACAGGCUGUGUGCUGUGGAUCCGAAAUUCACUUUUUAUGCACAAGUCCCGUCAAAGGCGAGUGACCUGAGAAAAUUUAAACAGAAAUAAAUCUUAUCAGCCA
ensembl:lncRNA